rnacentral:rRNA from 1 species
CUGCGGAAGGAUCAUUACUGAAGCAGUUAGGGCUGUAGCUGACUCUGUCAAAGGAGUACUGUGCUCGCUCUAUUCUUCUACUUUUCCCCCUGUGCACCUUUUGUAGGCUAUGAUAUCCAUCGUGUGUGAGUUCACGCUCAUUACCGGUUCAAGGGAUUGCUGGUUUACUCCGGCUGCUCUUGCCCUUCAUAUGCCUAUGUCUUUAUACACUCUUUACAAGUCUAGAAUGUCUUUUGUGGGUCUAUUGACCUAUAAACUUAAUACAACUUUCAACAACGGAUCUCUUGGCUCUCGCAUCGAUGAAGAACGCAGCGAAAUGCGAUAAGUAAUGUGAAUUGCAGAAUUCAGUGAAUCAUCGAAUCUUUGAACGCACCUUGCGCCCUUUGGUAUUCCGAAGGGCAUGCCUGUUUGAGUGUCAUUAAAUUCUCAAACCUUGAUCAGUUUUGCGACUGACUUCAAGGCUUUGGAUGUGGGAGUCUGCUGGAACUCUUUUGGUACAGCUCUCCUCAAAUGCAUUAGCGGUUACUUGAUCCCCUUUCCUUGGUGUGAUAAUUAUCUACGCCUUUGAAAUGAUCAGCAUUGUAUCAGCUUCUAACCGUCCAUUGACUUGGACAAUUACUUAAUUGACUAUUUGACCUCAAAUCAGGUAGGACUACCCGCUGAACUUAAGCAUAUCAAUAAGCGGAGGAAAAGAAACUAACAAGGAUUCCCCUAGUAACUGCGAGUGAAGCGGGAAAGCUCAAAUUUAAAAUCUGGCGGUCCUUGCGGCUGUCCGAGUUGUAAUUUAGAGAAGUGUUAUCCGCGCUGGACCGUAUACAAGUCUCCUGGAAUGGAGCGUNU